UGUUUGGUUUGUUACGUGUGGUUGGCUGCGGCGUUUGCAACAACUUCCAUGCUCUCAGACCUCUUCAGUUGUGCGGCAAGGCUUGUAUCGCCUUGAGCGUAUCGUGGGUUUUCUGUGUUGGCUACCUAAUCGACGGUAUCGUUUGGACUGAUCAAAGUGUGAUUUCGUCUUCCGUCGCGUUUGCGGCGUGAGGUGAACCUUGACGCGGUCUCUUUGAUCCAUCUCGUCGAAGCACAUGCUUUGACGUUGUGGCACAUUGAGCAUUGCUUGGUCUCUUGUGUACGGAACACGUAGCGGGCAUGGAUCUAACGAUUCUUGUUUGCCCUCAUAUUAGCGUAACGCUUCUCAAACACGACUUGCAUCGCGUUUUAGCUCGUACGGACGUGGUGCUAUGUCGCAGAGGAAUGCUACCUGGUUGAUCCUGCCAGAAUCA
rnacentral:misc_RNA from 1 species